rnacentral:rRNA from 1 species
UACGAAGGGGGCAAGCGUUAUCCGGAAUCAUUGGGCGUAAAGCGCGUGUAGGCGGUUCAGUAAGUCCGCUCUGAAAGCCCAGGGCUCAACCCUGGGAGGCGGGUGGAUACUACUGAACUAGAGUACGGAAGAGGAGAUUGGAAUUCCUGGUGUAGCGGUGAAAUGCGCAGAUAUCAGGAGGAACACCAACCGCGAAGGCAGAUCUCUGGGACGUAACUGACGCUGAGACGCGAAAGCGUGGGGAGCAAACAGG